CAGAAGGGAGCUUGCUCCCGGAUGUUAGCGGCGGACGGGUGAGUAACACGUGGGUAACCUGCCUGUAAGACUGGGAUAACUCCGGGAAACCGGAGCUAAUACCGGAUAGUUCCUUGAACCGCAUGGUUCAAGGAUGAAAGACGGUUUCGGCUGUCACUUACAGAUGGACCCGCGGCGCAUUAGCUAGUUGGUGAGGUAACGGCUCACCAAGGCGACGAUGCGUAGCCGACCUGAGAGGGUGAUCGGCCACACUGGGACUGAGACACGGCCCAGACUCCUACGGGAGGCAGCAGUAGGGAAUCUUCCGCAAUGGACGAAAGUCUGACGGAGCAACGCCGCGUGAGUGAUGAAGGUUUUCGGAUCGUAAAGCUCUGUUGUUAGGGAAGAACAAGUGCAAGAGUAACUGCUUGCACCAUGACGGUACCUAACCAGAAAGCCACGGCUAACUACGUGCCAGCAGCCGCGGUAAUACGUAGGUGGCAAGCGUUGUCCGGAAUUAUUGGGCGUAAAGGGCUCGCAGGCGGUUUCUUAAGUCUGAUGUGAAAGCCCCCGGCUCAACCGGGGAGGGUCAUUGGAAACUGGGAAACUUGAGUGCAGAAGAGGAGAGUGGAAUUCCACGUGUAGCGGUGAAAUGCGUAGAGAUGUGGAGGAACACCAGUGGCGAAGGCGACUCUCUGGUCUGUAACUGACGCUGAGGAGCGAAAGCGUGGGGAGCGAACAGGAUUAGAUACCCUGGUAGUCCACGCCGUAAACGAUGAGUGCUAAGUGUUAGGGGGUUUCCGCCYCUUAGUGCUG
rnacentral:rRNA from 1 species